UUGAAAAAUUUAAUACGAUUCAUAGAAAUAAGCAUGCGUAUUGGUUAACAGUCCUAUAAUAUGAGUAAAUAAUGGAAAAUAAUAAUCUCCUUGCCUUUGUUGGUAAGCUUUUUUCACUAGCUUUUUUCAGUUCUACAUACGGCAGUUAUAAAAUGUGCACGUGUUCUUAAUUUUAUUUUUAUUUUUGAGUUAUUAUGAGUUAUUAAUAAUAAUAAUAAUAAUUAAACUCAAUUAAUAUUGAGUCAUUCUAUAAUGAAUAAUAAUGAAAAUAAUUAGUUAUAUUAUGAAAUAAUUGCAAUAAAUGUAUAUAUGAAUAUCGAAAUAAAUAGAAUCGAAAUAAUCGAAAGAAAUGAAUGAUUCAAUAUAAUCUAAUUAAUCAUAAAACAAAGGAUGUUUAUUGGUAUUAAUGAAGUGGAAUUCAACUGAUAAGAAAAUAAGCAAGAUAAACAAAACUAAAAUACAGAAUAUAUACUGAAGAUGUAUCGAAUCUUGUUCAGUUAUAUCAUAAAUUCCACAUAUUUAACAAAGAUGAUAGUGAAGAGAAUAAAAGCAGUAAGAAAAUAAAAAUGGAAAAAGCGUUUACAAAAGUAAGAUUCAGCUGAUGAGGUUUCAUCGAGUCAACAAUUCAUUAAAGAUUACAGAUUAUUUUUGAACACACUAGUAUACACAAAAUACAUUAUUAUUUCCCGUUCAUUUUACGUUACGAUGGUAAAGAGAAAUCAGAUACGUCUAUCUCUUCAAUUAAGUAUUUUAACUGACAAUCAAAGAAAAAGGAAAGACUUCCAACAACAUAGAAAUAUUAUCUCUGCUACAGUUCAAAUAAGCUGUCAAAUGAAGAAACAGUAGAGUCGAGAAAGAAAAGUGUCAUAUUUGAUGGCAAAUUGGCACCGCCAUUAAGAUGUAAUUUGCUCUUCUCCAAAAAAGGUUUUUGGAAAGAUACACUAUAAAUUAAUUGGGGAUCUUAACGUCUCGAUGUUAGAAAACGUCAAAGAGAUGAAAGUAAUUAUUCGAAGAAAAUACAAGAAUAUAUAUUAUAAAAGAUCUACUGCUAUUGCAAUGAAGAUAAUCUUGAUUGUAAUUUGAAAAAUCAGAGUGAAAUUAAUUAGAAGAUUAGUUCUGGUUAUUGUAUCUCUAAUUUUUAAAGGCUUCUUUCUAAAUAUUUUUUUGGUAUAAACUUCAUCCCUUCUUCAUAGUUAAUUGAUGAGAAAUGCUUAUCAUUAUCGAAGUAUUGAAUCUGAAAAAUACUAAAUUCCGUAUCCUUUCUGCUGAUUUUUACUUUUUUUUUUAUAAAAAUUUACUGUAUAAAGAUAUCUUAUUGUCUAUAUUUUUUGAUUAAUUAGUAACUCCGUUCAAGUAUCAUUGGAACUACUUCCAUAGGUAAUGAAAAUCUCUAUAAAUAUUAAAGCUAAGAAGCGAUUUAUCAAAUAUUAUCAACAUCAUAUGACUAAGAAAAAAUAUAACUCACAAUAAUAAUCUACUAAAAUGAUACUAAAAAUUUUAUAUCAUAUCGAUUAAACAUCCUAGUAUCCAAUUCGGAACUCAUCCAAAUUUUAGACUUGCAGUAAUAGAAUAAUUUUUCUCCAAAUUACAGCAUAUAGAAUAUUAGCUACUAUCAAUUCACUGAAUAAUAUAGAACAAUAUACAAGUCAGUGAUAUCAUAUUCCAUUUUGAUCAGAAGCCUAUUUUUUGUUUGGUUAGUUUCUAAAAAAUAUCUAUCAUGUAUCAAUUCAUUCAUUUAUACUAGUGUUUAUAUGCUCAAAUUCUCUACAUGACAUGGGUAUAAAGUUUAGAACCCUUUUUAUCCAUCUGGAAACAUGAAUAUAUCUCUCCUGUCUAAUGGACAAAUGGACAAUAGUGAAGGAGAAAAAAGCUUGGCUCGAAUUAUCUGAAAAGUAAUCUAUAAGUCUAGAACGGUUAGCUCUAUGUUUUGAACUUUUUACGAUCUCGUAUACAUGAUUCAGAGAGGGAUUAAGAGAAGUCAACAUAAUUCCUCUUUGCCAUCAUGAAGUGGCAGUGUUAAUAGCAUCGUUGUUCAGGCUCUGGCAUUACCAGGUAUCUCUACAUAAAGAGAUUCCAAUACUGCCUCCAAAAAGAGCGCACAAGCAUAAUAUGGGAAGUACCAAAUAUA